GUAACACGCGGGCAAGCAGUACCUGCUCGAAAAGGAGGACACAAGUUGCAGUGCAGGCCGCGACUUUUACGUGUGUGCCUGUGUUGACAUCAACCAAGGAACUUCUCUGACACUAUUCGUGAGAAAAGAACGACGCGCACUGCAAAGCAGCUAGCAAGGUGCAGCCAGGAUUGCAAACACAUUGCAGAGCUCUCCUGCCUAAAGUCCAGCGAAGGAGCAGGAGGUUUCAUUUCGUGUGACAAGGUCUGGGUGAAGCAGAUUCCAGAGGUGAUUAACCAGAUGAGGCUUAGUUAAGGAUCCUGACCAUUUCACUCAGAUUCACUCCAAACAAGAGCUCCUAAUUGUAUACCCCAGGAGCAACAAGAGAGGUCAUGUCUCAACGUGCACCUCAGAACCAGAAAGCGGAUUCAGCAGGGCAGCACAGGACAAGAUGCUGAGGACACAGUGACCACCCUGCAACUGAAGUCUUGCCUGUGUCCCAUGUGAUGAACAGUUGUCUACCCAUAGUUUUCAACAUUACAUACUUUGGGCCGGUUGAACAGCUCAGCUCUUAUGUAUAGGUAUCUGC